UUAUUCAGAUUUACACUUCCAGCAUUUCCUCAGUUUGUGUCUUCUUUGUCUCCAUUUCAGUCGGGCAGCAGACCUCCUGCAGGCAGAUCAGACUACCACCAUCCCCCAUGAGACCCUGUAACCAAGCCCCACCUCCCUCCAUCCCACCCAUUCUUCGAGACUGCAACUGUUCCCUGAGACAGCGAUGGCCAAGACCCGAUUGGACUAAGAGACACAGACACUGCUUGCACCAAGUGGAGAAAGAGAUGGAUAGAGGCCAGUGCAAAAGUACAGUCAACAACAAAAAACACACCAUGGUUCCAUCAGAACCUACACCAGCAAGACCUGAACAUCCCAACACAGAGGAAACAGAAGAAAUCGACCUUAAAAAUGAUCUUAAGAAGAUGUUAGAGAUCGUUAAAGAGGAAAUGAAAAAUUCCCUUAAAGAAUUAGAGGAAAAGUCAAACAAAAAAUGUGAAGCAAUCAGUAAAUCCCUUGAAAGCCAAGAGAAAGCAAUUAAAUAUUUGAGGGAAACAGCUCAAGAUUUGAAAUCUGAUUUCUCAUUUUCAAUAUGUAUAUUUUGCAUAUAGACAUUUAUUAGGUGAGAAUUUUUGUUUUAUUUAAUUUCUUGCAUUCAAUAUGUAUAUUUUGGUUAUUAAACCUUUAUCAGAUGAGAA